CGGACGAACGAAGCCAAGUAUGGCCGAACGCAGCGAGCGGGCCUGGCCCAGCCGCUGCUCGGGAAAGCGGCUGCCGCCUCACGUUACACACGGGCAGCCGCUCACGGGCAGCCGCCGCCUCCGCGUUCGGGGCGCCGGGACGGAGAGCGGCGGGAGCGCGGUCCCCGCCUCUCCCGGGGCAGCACCGGGCUCGGAUUCUCGUACAGAGCCUCGAGCGGUGAAGGCGGGAAGCCCGCACAGGUGGGCAGUUUUGCCAUAACUCUGUAUUAUUCCUAAUGGGGAUAGCAAGAACAAUUCCAUGAUCGGUUUUCUGGAAAUUUGACUAAUUUUAUUCCACGUAUGGGGAACCAAAGGACAAUAAUUCCAAGAGUAAUUGACCUGAAAACAAAAAGGAUGCAUACUUUUAAAAUAUUUCAUCAUACCAGCCUGUGCAAAGUGGAAGAGUAGAAACAAAGUGGACCGAGAUAUACUAAUAUAGAAUGAGGCUCUUGAGAAACAAAUGUGAUCAUAAGAACAGCUGUCAGAGUCCUUUUGGGAAACCUGUAGUUCUGUUUGUGGGACUGAACCAUGAGGCACACACCAAACCUAGAGACAAGACAUUCCUGUGCCAGUAUCCGCAUUCUCCCUGUGAGGAAGUGGUCAAAGCUGGCCUGACGCUCUAAGAGCAACUCAUAGAACAUGCACCAGCAGUAUCUGAGACGGAACACAAAUGAUG